UAAAACGUAGGUGGCAAGCGUUAUCCGGAUUUAUUGGGCGUAAAGAGGGCGCAGGCGGCUUUUCAAGUCGGAUGUAAAAUCUCCCGGCUUAACCGGGAGGGAUCAUUCGAUACUGCUAAGCUAGAGGGCAACAGGGGGAGGUAGAAUUCCCGGUGUAGUGGUGAAAUGCGUAGAUAUCGGGAGGAAUACCAGUGGCGAAGGCGGCCUCCUGGGUUGUUACUGACGCUUAUGCCCGAAAGCGUGGGGAGCAAACAGGAUUAGAUACCCUGGUAGUCCACGCUGUAAACUAUGGACACUGGGUAUAGGGAGUAUCGACCCUCUCUGUGCCGAAGCUAACGCGUUAAGUGUCCCGUCUGGGAACUACGGCCGCAAGGCUA
rnacentral:rRNA from 1 species